AAUAUCACACGGAAGAUGAAAGAACACCUGAGCUGGUUGACGUUUGAAAACACCAUCCGAAUUUAUAACUCAUUCAUGAAGAACUGAGGUUUUUGUUUUCUUUUACCUUUUACCAUUUUUUAUUGUUACAUUGUUGUUAUUUGCUUUAAUCCUGCAUUUUACCGUCGGCAAUUCCAUCGUUAUUAUUACUGUUAUUGUUAUUAUUAUUACUAUUGUUAUUACUUUUACUUACUAUUGUUAUUACGAUUUAUUUCGUAUACUUACGUUAUUGUUACUACUACUUACUUUGCUCUCGCAAACGUUCGUUGUUGUUACUUUUGGACCAGGUUAAGAGAAAUCGCACGCACAGCGGAACUGGACCGCUUAAGCCAGAAACAGUAAAGUAACAAUAGCCAAAUGCCUCGUCAUCUAAUUAGUGACGCGUAUGAAUGGAUCAACAAGAUUCCUUCUGUCCCUAUCUACUAUCUAGCGAAACCACAGCCAAGGGAACGGGCUUGGCAAAAUCAGCGGGGAAAGAAGACCCUGUUGAGCUUGACUCUAGUCUGACUCUGUGAA
rnacentral:ncRNA from 1 species